rnacentral:rRNA from 1 species
CCCUUAGAUGUUCUGGGCCGCACACGCGCUUCACUGAAGGAGGCAGCGUGUACUCCUGGAUCGAAAGAUUUGGGUAACCCGCGAAUCUCCUUCGUGCUAGGGAUUGAGGUUUGCAAUUAUCCUUCAUGAACGAGGAAUUCCCAGUAAGUGCAAGUCAUAAGCUUGCGCUGACUACGUCCCUGCCCUUUGUACACGCCGCCCGUCGCUACUACCGAUUGAAUGAUUUAGUGAGGACUUCGGACUGGGACCGAUGCGGCUUUCGGGCUGCGUCGGUAUUCUGGAAAGAUGUCCAAACUGUAUCAUUUAGAGGAAGUAAAAGUCGUAACA